AGCUCCAAUAGCGUAUAUUAAAGUUGUUGCAGUUAAAAAGCUCGUAGUUGGAUUUGUGACGUACGAUGUGUUCCCGGCACUUGUUGUCGGUGGUACCUGUCGUUGUCAUCCUUGGGUGGAAUUUGUGUGGCAUUAGGUUGUCGUGCAGGGGAUGCCCAUCGUUUACUGUGAAAAAAUUAGAGUGUUCAAAGCAGGCUUACGCCGUUGAAUAUAUUAGCAUGGAAUAAUGAGAUAGGACCUUGGUACUAUUUUGUUGGUUUGCGCACCGAGGUAAUGAUUAAUAGGGACAGUUGGGGGUAUUCGUAUUCCAUUGUCAGAGGUGAAAUUCUUGGAUUUUUGGAAGACGAACUACUGCGAAAGCAUUUACCAAGGAUGUUUUCAUUAAUCAAGAACGAAAGUA
rnacentral:rRNA from 1 species